ACAGGUCAACAUUCCUGUACCGGUUAUGUUUUGGGAAGAGGGACGGAGAAGGCUAGCCAAGCCAGAUGUUGGUUACUGGUUCAAGCGUUCGAGGCGUUGAGGAGCGGUGAAAACGUUCCGAGCUGAGGCGUGAGUACGAGCUGCUACGGCAGCGAAGUUGGUGACGUCAAGCUUCCAAGAAAAGCUCUAUACCCGUUAAGGCAUAACUGCCAGUACCCGAAACCGACACAGGUGGGGUGGUAGAGAAUACCGAGGGGCGCGAGGUAACUCUCUCUAAGGAACUCGGCAAAAUGACCCCGUAACUUCGGGAGAAGGGGUGCCAGCGAGAGCUGGUCGCAGUGAAGAGGCGCAAGCGACUGUUUACCAAAAAC
rnacentral:rRNA from 14 species